UACGUAGGGGGCAAGCGUUGUCCGGAUUUAUUGGGCGUAAAGAGCGUGUAGGCGGCCUGGAAGGUCAGCUGUGAAAACUCGAGGCUCAACCUCGAGACGUCGGUUGAAACCACCUGGCUAGAGUCCGGAAGAGGAGAGUGGAAUUCCCGGUGUAGCGGUGAAAUGCGCAGAUAUCGGGAAGAACAUCGAUGGCGAAGGCAGCCUCCUGGGCCUUAACUGACGCUGAGGCGCGAAAGCGUGGGGAGCGAACAGG
rnacentral:rRNA from 1 species